AGUGAACGCUGGCGGUAGGCCUAACACAUGCAAGUCGAACGGCAGCACAGUAAGAGCUUGCUCCUACGGGUGGCGAGUGGCGGACGGGUAAGGAAUACAUCGGAAUCUACUUUUUCGUGGGGGAUAACGUAGGGAAACUUACGCUAAUACAGCAUACGACCUACGGGUGAAAGCAGGGGAUCUUCGCACCUUGCGCGAUUCAAUGAGCCGAUGUCGGAUUAGCUAGUUGGCGGGGUAAAGGCCCACCAAGGCGACGAUCCGUAGCUGGUCUGAGAGGAUGAUCAGCCACACUGGAACUGAGACACGGUCCAGACUCCUACGGGAGGCAGCAGUGGGGAAUAUUGGACAAUGGGCGCAAGCCUGAUCCAGCCAUACCGCGUGGGUGAAGAAGGCCUUCGGGUUGUAAAGCCCUUUUGUUGGGAAAGAAAAGCAGCAGGUUAAUACCCCGCUGUUCUGACGGUACCCAAAGAAUAAGCACCGGCUAACUUCGUG
rnacentral:rRNA from 1 species